UUCAUUGAUAACCACAAAAAAGAAACGAGAAAAGGAAACCUGCAGGAACAUGAGAAACAGUGUUGCCUUUGAGAGAUCUACUGAACAGACGCCAGAAAGUGUGGAAGACCUAAGCCUCUAGAAAGAGAAGAACUACAGUUAAGGAUUUCCACAGACAGUACCUGGAAUAAAAAAGAUGAGUGUCUGAGAGACAGGCCAUCUCUCUCCCCUUCGUAUUCAAAAGGUUUGAAAGCUGCUGAUCCCUUGGACUGUAUUGAGUUUUCGCCAAGUGUUUCCAGUCCUGCAUUAGUUAACUCAAAUACAUUGGACAGUCGGAAAAAUCCAACUGAUCUAAAAAACCUCAACAAGAGCUGGAGGGGUAGCCAGGAAUGCUUUGCAUCCUGUGAUGAGAGAGGCAGAGUUCUAUCUACAUGUCCAAACAAAGAUCCAUCCCCACAGAAUUCCCCUGAGGACUCUCUUACUUCAGUAGCAAAAUUAAGUGGUGAUAGCUCUGUGCUGCCCCCACUAGAUCAGUACCAUGAUCUGAAACAAGAUGUUACAGGGAAUGCUUCAGGUUGGAUCCCUAGUUGCACAGCCAUACCUCUGGAACUUGAUAGCAGUGGCGAGAUGUAUGAAGAAAAAUCUGUGGCCAACUAUGUACCAGCCUGUAAUUCAGAUUCCUCAGCAAUCCCUGAAUUAAAUAAAUUCAUGGAACUGAAGUCCUCGUGUUCAGAUCCAUUUUCCACUGAAAGUACCCAAACCUCUGCGCAAUGUUCUGCUUUCGGUCAAAAUGAACAUAUAGAGGAAACACCUCCCAGUCAUACUUAUUCUGUGCACACUUACAGGACAGUCUAUCCCUCCUACUCUUGGCACUUCUAUCAAACUGGUAGCAGUUGUCACCAAGUUACUCAAACGUACCAGGAGUCCAGUUCUUAUGAAAUGCACCAGCUGACUCCAACCAUGCUUACAGCUACCAGCAUGGUAUAUAACACACAGU